GACGAACGCUGGCGGCGUGCUUAACACAUGCAAGUCGAACGGUGAAGGACGGAGCUUGCUCUGUCUGGAUCAGUGGCGAACGGGUGAGUAACACGUGAGUAACCUGCCCCAGACUCUGGAAUAAGCGCUGGAAACGGCGUCUAAUACCGGAUACGAGACGGAGAGGCAUCUCUACCGUCUGGAAAGUUUUUCGGUCUGGGAUGGACUCGCGGCCUAUCAGCUUGUUGGUGAGGUAAUGGCUCACCAAGGCAACGACGGGUAGCCGGCCUGAGAGGGCGACCGGCCACACUGGGACUGAGACACGGCCCAGACUCCUACGGGAGGCAGCAGUGGGGAAUAUUGCACAAUGGGCGAAAGCCUGAUGCAGCGACGCCGCGUGAGGGAUGACGGCCUUCGGGUUGUAAACCUCUUUCAGCAGGGAAGAAGCGAAAGUGACGGUACCUGCAGAAGAAGCACCGGCUAACUACGUGCCAGCAGCCGCCGUAA
rnacentral:rRNA from 1 species